rfam:Fukomys damarensis contig91506, whole genome shotgun sequence.
CCAAAGGAUUUGACUCUUAAAUCCACCUACAUUUAAAAGAAAAAUAAAU